rnacentral:rRNA from 1 species
AAUAGUCUAACGGCUGAACCAGCAACUUGGAGGAAUGAAUAGCUAUAGCUAAUUGCACAUGUAUAUGAUGCAAUAUCGACUAAGUCGAAUAAAAUUCUGGGUAGAAUUAUGAUAAUGACAUUGUCUACCCAUGUGUCUUGACCAAAUUACGUGCCAGCAGUCGCGGUAAUACGUAGAAGACUAGUGUUAUUCAUCUUUAACAGGUUUAAAGGGUACCUAGACGGUAAAUCAAGCCAUAGACGGGACUAAUUUGCUAGAGUUACUUGCGCAGGGGUUUUAAAGUACUAAUGGUGUAGAGAUUAAAUUUUGUAAUACCAUUUUUCGAAAGAAAAGUCAUGGCACUGGUAAAGGCGAAAGCAUCCCCUUAUGUGAUAACUGACGUUGAAGGACGAAGGCUUUGGAUCGCGAAUAGGAUUAGAUACCCUAGUAGUCAAAGCAGAAAAUCAUGAGUGUCAUAGAUUAGAGAUUAAUUUUAUUCUAUAAAUGAAAGUGUAAGCACUCCACCUCAAGAGUAAUAUGGCAACAUUGGAACUGAAAUCAUUAGACCGUUUCUGAA